rnacentral:misc_RNA from 1 species
UUUCCGUAGGUGAACCUGCGGAAGGAUCAUUCAUAAUAAAGUGUUUUAUGGCACUUUUUAAAAAUCCAUAUCCACCUUGUGUGCAAUGUUAGAUCUCGUCAAUCUUGGCGAGAUUUUUAUACAUCAACUCAUUCUUUAACUAAUUUGUCUGAAAAAUAUUAUGAAUACUUAAUUCAAAAUAUAACUUUCAACAACGGAUCUCUUGGCUCUC